GGCAUUGUGGCUGAGUGGUAAAGCGCUUGGCUUCUGAACAAGGGGUCCCAGGUUUGAAUCCUGAUAAAGACA
rnacentral:tRNA from 1 species